rnacentral:rRNA from 1 species
UACGGAAGGCAGCAGUGGGGAAUAUUGCACAAUGGGCGCAAGCCUGAUGCAGCCAUGCCGCGUGUAUGAAAAAGGCCUUCGGGUUGUAAAGUACUUUCAGUCGUGAGGAAGGUGUUAAGGUUAAUAACCUUAGCAAUUGACGUUAGCGACAGAAGAAGCACCGGCUAACUCCGUGCCAGCAGCCGCGGUAAUACGGAGGGUGCGAGCGUUAAUCGGAAUUACUGGGCGUAAAGGGCACGCAGGCGGUUAAUUAAGUUGGAUGUGAAAUCCCCGGGCUUAACCUGGGAAUGGCAUUCAAGACUGGUUAGCUAGAGUCUUGUAGAGGGGGUAGAAUUCCAUGUGUAGCGGUGAAAUGCGUAGAGAUGUGGAGGAAUACCGGUGGCGAAGGCGGCCCCGGACAAAGACUGACGCUCAUGUGCGAAAGCGUGGGUAGCAAACAGGGAUUAGAUACC